rnacentral:lncRNA from 1 species
AUGCCGGUUUGUCAGAGAGAAUUGGCCAGUAUGUUUUAUAUUCCUGCUGGGAAACUGAGGCUCAAGGAGAUGCACAAUAAAGACUCAGCUUGGGGCAGAUAUCCAGCCAGCCAGGCCAGCAGCUCACCUCAAAGGUUACCUGGGAAGGGCCUUGCUUCAUCGCACGGCUCUAGUUUCCUCUCAAAUAAGGUAGCUACAGCAUUCAGUUCUAAUUCUCAGCAAAUCAACAUUUCAAGCAGUACUGCAGAGUACCCCAGUGAGGAGGUGAAAUCAUCUUGUCCGGAACAUCUCUAAUCCAGAGGCUUAGCUCUUUCCUUUAAAAUCUGCUUGUCAUUUGUCUGCAGGAGGGAAUUAGGGAGGAGUGCAAUCACACUUAACUCUCAUUUGUUUUACAGCCAUAUCUUCCACUCCGAGAUAAAUCUUGUAGCUAAAAAGGUCUAUGGAAUGUAAGAACCAGUUACGGCCAAGUCCUCUAUUUUUUGGCAACAUGUACUUCGUCUGUGAUCAACAAACAAAUCAAUUUUCUUCUAAAUCAAAAUGAUGAGUUUCCAAGCAGCCUUAGGGGGCUUCCAGGGCUGGCCCAGGAGGACCUCGGAUAAGCCGGACCCAGAAGGCUCUCCCACCUAGCUUGUCUCUUCAGGUGCCAUCUUUAGUCAGAUGAGAUAAGUUGACCUGGAUUCCCUAGCAAGGAAGAGAACUAUACUCCACAGAGCCUCCAGGGCUGGAGGUGGGGUGGGGGAUGGGAAUGGUUUGAGGUUGGAAAGAGGCACAGCUUCACACUGGGGGGCAGAAGGACUAAGAGCAACUUUUUCCAGGACUUCCCUGGCAGUCCAGUGGUUAAGACUGCGCUUUCAUGUCAGGGAGGGCAGGUUCCAUCCCUGGUUAGGGAAAUAAGAUCCUGCACGCCGCCAGGCUUGGCCAAUAAUAGUAAUAAUAUAUAUAUAUAUAUAAUUUUUUUUUUUUUAAAGAGUGACCUUUCCUUUCUACCCUUGGCCCCAACCCCCACACUUACCUAUACUCACACUUAGAGAUAAGGAGGGCCAGCGGGACACACCCCAUGAUAACAGCAGGUACCAUUUCUUAAGUCCUAAUGAGCUGGAUUCAUUUCCCUCUCACAAUUGACCUUGAGUGAGAGUCCCUGCCUCACAGAGGAGAGAGCUCUGUCUGGGGAGCUUGAAAC